UAGGGAAUCUUCCGCAAUGGACGCAAGUCUGACGGAGCAACGCCGCGUGAGUGAAGAAGGAUUUCGGUUCGUAAAACUCUGUUGUUAGAGAAGAACAGCGCAUAGAGUAACUGUUAUGCGUGUGACGGUAUCUAACCAGAAAGCCACGGCUAACUACGUGCCAGCAGCCGCGGUAAUACGUAGGUGGCAAGCGGUGUCCGGAUUUAUUGGGCGUAAAGCGAGCGCAGGCGGUCAAUUAAGUCUGAUGUGAAAGCCCCCGGCUCAACCGGGGAGGGUCAUUGGAAACUGGUUGACUUGAGUGCAGAAGAGGAGAGUGGAAUUCCAUGUGUAGCGGUGAAAUGCGUAGAUAUAUGGAGGAACACCAGUGGCGAAAGCGACUCUCUGGUCUGUAACUGACGCUGAGGCUCGAAAGCGUGGGUAGCAAACAGG
rnacentral:rRNA from 1 species